rnacentral:lncRNA from 1 species
GCAUGACUAAGGAUCUUGCUCAGAUCCAGUUGUUCUCUGUCGAUUCAUUUGCUAGCUCUUUUCCAUAUGCUACACUAUGGGGUUCCAGAUUAAAGUCCUGAACUUACUGCUUCCUAGAUUGUGAUUUUGAGCAAGAUAACUACUUUUUUACACCUUUUUUUUCUUCUAACAUGGAGGUCAAUAUAAAGCACAACUGUGUGACAUUAUCGUGAAGGAUAAAUAAGGCAGAACUGAGAGGUGCUCCAUGCUGCUGCCUCACUGGAUCAUCUGGCAGGUACUGCUGAGGCCUACUCAGUGAGUGACCACACUCAAUGAGCCAUCAUGAUGGAGAUGGACCAAAGACCUUAACAGACACCUCACCAAAGAAGAUGUGCAGAUGACAUAGAAAAAGACACUCCGCAUCAUAUGUCAUCAAGGAAAUGCAAAGGGAAACAAUAAUGAGGUCCCGCUACACACCUAUUAGAAUGGCCAAAAUCUAGAAUACUGAGAGCAUCGAAUGCUGGUAAGGAUAUGGAGCAACAGGAAUUCUCAUUCAGUCCUGCUGGGAAUGAGAAUAGUAUAGUCAGUUUCGAAGACAUUUUAGUAGUUUUUAAAAAACUAAACGUACUCUUAUGAUAUGAUCCAGCAAUCACACUUUUGGUAAUUGCCCAAAAGAAUUGAAAACUUACAUUUUCACAUAAGUACACAAAAAUUUGUACCAAGAUAUUUAUUGAUGUGUACACACAAGUACACAGAAACUUGUACACAGAUAUUUAUAGAGGCUUUAUUCAUAGUUGCCAAGAUAUCCUUCACUAUGUGACUGGAUAAAUAAACUGAUACAUACAGAUAAGAUAAUACCGUUUAGCAUUAAAAAGAAAUGAACUAUCAAAAAUGAAAAGACAUGGAGGAAACUUAAAUGUGUAUUAUUAAGUGAAAGAAGCCAAUCUGAAAAAGGUACAUAGUGUAUAAUUCCAAAUAUAAGACAUUCUGGAAAAAGCAAAACUAUGGACACAAUGAAAAGAUCAGUCAAUUGAAAUAAAUAAAUAUGUUUUUAAAAAUCAGUGGUUUCCAGGUAUUAGAGAGAAGAUAGGGAUGAAUCGGCAGAGCACAGAGAACUUUUAAGUCAGGGAAACUUCUUUGUAUAAUAUUCUACAGUGGUACAUGUCAUUAAAAAUUUGUUUAAUCUCACAGAUUGUACAGCAUCAAACGUGAAUGCUAAAAUAAACUGUGGAAUCUUGGGUGAUAAUGAUAUGUCAAUGCAGAUUCAUCAGUUGUAACAUAUGUACCACUCUAGUGGGGAAUGGUUAUAAUGGGGAAGGCUAUGCAUACAUAGGGGCAGAAGGUAAAUGGGAAAUUUCUGUAUCUUCUGUUCAAUUUUGCUGUAAACGUAAAAUUGCUCUAAAAAUAGCCUAAGACUGGUUUUAUAAUAACAGUAGGCCAUUAUUCAUAUUAGCAUUAUCAUUAUAGUCAUGAAUACAGUCUUCUCUUGACUAUAGGGAACACAGUGCUUUUAGAUUUCCUAGCAUCCAUUUAGCUUCCAUUUUAAAAAUAGAACAACACUAAGAACUUCUAUAUUAUAUGCACUAUGAAGCCAUAUAUUGUAGCUCAUUAAUUUAUUUGGUAAUAAAGUGCUAAUUAGUGAUAUAACACUGACUCAAACAAGUUAGCUGAAUGGUUUUAAUAAUCAUAGAACACACCCUGAAUCUCCAUCAGACUUAUUUUAUUCAUUCAGUUGGUCAAAAGAAGAAAUAGAACAAAUGUGAUGAAUGAAAACACAUCCAUAAAUUAUACUAGAAAAAAUAGCUCAAAAUAUAUGUCUAGCAGAGUUAUUCAGUGCUGUUAACUCCAACUUCCUUAUUAGCAUUUCAUUACUACAUAAUACAGUUGAAUUCAAUCCUCGAGCUGGUUUUGCUUUAUUUGAUGGUUAUAUCAGGGAUACAUAUUCUAGUGCAUCCAAUAGGAAGCCACAUUAGCACAUUGGACCUUGAUGAACUUAAUCUAAAAUUAUAAUCUUCAAUAACCUUGUAAUACUACAUAGAAUAUAACUGAGCCAAUAAAACAUACUUAUUUUUGUUUACCUUUCAAUUUACACAUAAGUUAAAUCUACAUUUUAUCUAAUUAAAACCAGAUUGUUGGACUCUCAAAUGCCUUGAGAAAUCUAUCACUUAUUGAAGUGCAUGGCACUUUUAAAACAUAAAUGAAAACUUCAGAGAAUUACAAUUUAUAUUACACAAAUACAACUUCUGUCAAUUCUGUCACAGUCUAAACAUAACCAGCUGCCUCUGCAAUGAUAUCAAGUGGCAAUUAAAAUAGCACCAGUAAUGUUACACUACAGUGAGGUGCAGAAAAUAUUUUGUCUGGUAAAAGCAAGAAUUAUAUUUAGAUGGUUGAGAUUCAUGUUCCAUAUUAAAAGAACAAAUGUUCUGAAAGAUUAGUCUUUGGUGCCAUCAUGUCUAUUUGUGCAUAAUCUUGGACACAGGGUGGCUUGCAUGAGCCAGAUAUCUGUCUUGUUCAACUUUAGUCCGCUAAGCCGUGGUCUCCAAGUAUCUUCUGCAGACCAUUAGUUCAAUGAAAUACUAAUAGGAAUUUUGUCAAAAAAUAAGUUCUAUGAUCACAUAGGAUUUGGAAAUGCUAUGUUAAGCUUGCACAUUUUUCUCUCCAAUGAAUUGUCAACUCUUUAAUGUACUCACAUGCAUUAUGGAUUUUUUAGAGAAAAUGCAUAACUUCCCCCAAAUUAUUUAAUUAUAGAACACAUGCCAGAAUAACCAUUAACUUUUAGAUAAAAUAUAUGUUUGGGACAAGCAAAGUUGGAAAAAAUUGUUUUGUUAUCUGAUAUUUGCUUAAGGCAUCAAAGAAGUUAACACCAGGAAAAAUAAAAAUUUGGUUGGAUUGGUUACAUUUGUUCCACGUCUAAUGUGUU